UGAUUUUAAACUGUGGAGCACGUCAAGAGAAAGCUCACUGAUCUGCCGAGGGUUUGUGCUUUUCUGUCUUCAUGCAUCUGUUGUGGGUGAAGAGAGCAAAGAUUCUUCAUUCAAUCAAAGGCCCCCUUUGGAGAUGCUGAGAAGGAAAUUUCCUUUGGAAAUUCCCAAAGAAGAAAUAUUCUGUUUCUGGCCUCCCAUCUUGGUGGGGGAUGUGCAGGCUGAGAACACAGGAGCUGACUUCUAUUGUAUCAGCUGAGACUGCAGGGUAGACUGCAAGAAGUGCCUCCUUGCUGAUGGACUGGAAUUGGGCUGUCUCUCUCUCUUUCUCUGGUUGCAUUUCACCAGCUAAGGAGUUGCAUUGGCUUCUGCUCUCCUCUCUUGCUCACCUACAUUGUGACAAAACUCAGCUUUGCCCCUGCACGGAGUUUCCCUUCGCGGGGCCCGCUGGGGAAGCAUCCGCGGCUUGUGGUGGCUGUGGUUUUGUGCCCAGGACUCACACGUAAAAGGAGCUCAUUCGGAGGCAGGGGCACGCGCUUGUCCCCAGAACUCAAACCCCAGAGUCCCUCCCAUCUCCGACUUGUGUCAAGAAAUGGGAAGUUCUGGGCCCAGAUCCCCAUAAGUCAGCGAUGAGGGGGGCCGAGCAGGGGCUGCCCGUUAGACGGCCGCAGAGUCCCAGCCCCCAGCCCUGCUCACCUUUCUUACCUCUCUGGCCCCGUCGGCAUUUGAGCCUGGGACCCCAGACGAAAGGAUACGCUUCCUUUUAGAACCCCUGCCAAUCUGAGGACGGGGCCACCCCACAGACGCCGUGGCUCAGCAAGCAGACCAAUGGCCGAGGAGUCUGGCAAGGGGCGCUUCGUGAUGCAUCACUGGGUAAACGAGAGAGGCUGAAGUCAGAGACAGGAUCUUGGAGCGCUUGAUCCAAUUUAAUUCUUCUAUUUUUUUUUUUUUAAACCCUAGGCAGAUGAGAGUGGAGGUUGUAAAUCACCCUCCAUGCAAUGGUUCAUCAUAAAGGAUAUGGAGCAAAAUUAGAGGAGGCACGAGAAGGAAAGCCGGUGAUGAACAAGGAUUUGCCUCAACUACAGAGACAGCAUGGAACACGCCCUCCUAGGCUGCCCACAUCCUCAUCUGCAUGGGGGCACAGAAGCCUGGCCAUUCAUCCCAUGGGAGACUCAGGACAUGCUCCCAGCAACCUGAUGGGCUGCCCAAGGCUUGGCUGAUCCUGCAUCCCUGCAUCACAUCUCAGCUUCUCCCUCUGCCCAAAUCUACUUCCUCCCCAUUCCUUUCACAGGCAUUGAUUCCCUGAUAAACACCUUGCACCCCAUAUUCCAUCUCAGAGUCUCCUUGCAGAGAACCCAACCUGUGGCAGAGCUGGUCUCAGGACUCGGAGCGAGGGAGCAGGGAAAGAGGACAGGAAAGCAGGGAGAGUCAAUUUAAGGGUAUGUUGUCUGAGACAAAGAUUCUGCUAGGACCUCUGAGAUGGGUACAAGAUGCCUGGAGCCAUUCACUGGGCAGUAUCUGUCCAUCAGCUCCCAGGCCCCACAGAACCGGAGCUGCCUGUGAGGGCUUUCACUGCCCUGCAUUUCUGGGCUUCACAUAUGCACUGGCUGAGAGGGCUCCCUGUCUUCAAGGACGAUCCUGAGCAGAAAGUGGGUGCACUUGAGGUGGCAUGCUGUUGCGAGAGUCUGAGCUUUAUGAGAAGCAGACCCAGGGGGCAUGGUGUGGGGCAUCCCAAAGGACCUGCCAUACAUUAGGUGCCUUGGUCUUGGGGAGGAGCCCUCGGGAGUUCUGAGGGUGGGAGAAGAGGUAGGUGGGGUUAAUCCUUUCCCAUUCCCUCCCUGCCUCAGCACCAUGGCUCAGGCAGUAGCGCUGCCAGCUCCUCCUGGGAUCAGAGUUAUGGCCCUGCUCCCCUUGUCCCUUCAGGCUGAGGAACAUAAGGGCUUCCCAUGGUUGCUGGUGUCUGAGUGCCUCAACCUCCCUUGCUGGUUCCUUUCCCCUGCCCACACCUUUGUCAAUAGUUCCCCCCACUGAAGUCUCUUUGGUUGAGCAGUUGGUGGGGAUGCUGACUGAUAAAGUGGUCUAGGCCACUGCUCACUGCUUAAAGCCUUGCUUCAGAGAGACCUUCCAGGGCCCUGCAGCUCCCCCUUCUCCAACCCCUCCAACCCCUCCAACCUUUCUCUCUCCCAGCUGGUCUGGGUUCCCUACGGCAUCUACUUGCUUUUGAAUCUAUUUCUUAUAGAUACAUGUGUGUCCUCCUCUUUCACAGCCUUACCUUUUCAUAUGGAGGAAGAAAAAACCCAUUUCUAUAAAGCUAUUAAAUGUUUUCCUUUCACAAACACCAGUUUUGUACGGCUAUUGCUUAAAGACUGAAUGACAUGGACCCCAGAGUUUAUGUGGGAAAGUGCCUGGUUGAAGCUAGCUUGCAAUCCCAAAGUCAGAAGGUUGCCUGGGAAGCCAUGAAACAAAGCCAAAUCAAGGCAAAGCAGACACAUGGAGAUUUUGAGACUGAGAAGAGGAAAACUGAGGACAUUCAUGUGAGAUGGUUUCAAGUUUCCCUUAGAAGGAGAAGUUAUCUUCAGAAGGUCAGGUUGGUGAGGUGGGAGUUCAAAAACAACAAAGUAUGUAGCUACCAUUGUGAGGAAGACCAUGGAAAAUGGACGAAUCAGAAUGAAAGGCUUUCUGAACAAGAGUAAGUACCCCCACUGAUGUGGCUUGGUGGUAUCACCAGGGGAGUUUCCCUGCACAAGCUCCCUCCUGCCUGCUGCCAUGUGAGACCUGCGUUUUGCCUUCCACCAUGACUGUGAGGCCUCUUCCCCGGCCAUGUGGAACGCCCAGAGACAGAAGCAGAUAAUGCAAGUGUCAUCUACAUCUGGCAAAAGCCAAAGGUUUGGAAGAUGGAAAAAGGAAUCCAGGCAAAAAGGAGCCCAAGAUUGAAGUGAAUGACCAGGUGCACCAGUUCAAAUGCAAUCAGGAGGGACAGGGGUAGAGGGAGAAGCCUAGAGCAGCGCUUCUCAAACUGACUAUUCAAGUCACCUGGAGAUCUUGGUGAAAUGCAGACUCUGGUGCAGUAGGUCCUGGCGGGAACUUGAAAUUCUGCAUUUUGACCAAGGUCCAAGGUGAAUGUCCAGUGCUGUUGUCCUUGGCCUGCAGCAGGAGGAGCAGGGAUCUAAGACUUGGAGAGCAAAUGUCAAGCUCAGAAGAAAGACUGGAAGUUUGGGGACAAAACCCAAAUAUGGCUAAAGAAAGCCUGUAGGAUGAAGUUGGAAGUUCCAGAGCCUUCUCUUCACAUAAUGGGACAUGCAAGGGGGAAACCAAAUCAAAAGUGUAGAAUGCGUCGCUGGAUGUCUUUGACAUGUUAUUGUUCUGAUAGAAUAUCAGCGGGGAGCUACUGAGGACCUCCUCACUACCCUCCCUUGGAAGAGUUUGUCUGCAAUGGAGCCAACACAGUGGAAAGCAGAGCUGAGAAAUGGACAAACAACUCCUGAUGCCUCAUUUGAGCACCUGGAUUUAGCCAUGUCUGAAGCUAUUAUAUCCUUGAACUUUUGAAUCAUGUAGGUUACCAUAAUUCCUUUUUUGUUAAAGCUAAUUUGAGUUGGGUUUCUAUCACUUGCAAUCAACAAUUGACCAGGUGCUUAGUACAUAAUGAAUGAGUGAAUGAACAAAUUCAAUUCUGUAAGUAUUUAUCAUCUCCUUACACGGCAGGCACUGUUUUAAGUCCCAAAGAAAGAGGCAGAGGAGCGACAGAGAUGACUUCCUCCCUUGAAAACGAAGCAUGUGGCCUGACAACCUAAAAUUGGGGUCAAUCCAUCCAAUUAUGGUGACUGCUUAGAAAUAUCCCUUUUCCUCCCAACGUUUUCCUUUCCUUCUCCCAUAAACAUAAUAAUGUCUCCUGCCAGUACUAAGGCAUGGCCCAUGGACCCACUAACACCUAUGCUCACGUUAGCUCUUGAGGCCGAGUGGCUUGGUUCUAUCUGGUUAUCAGAUGCAAACUUCAUCACAGCAGGGAUUUGGGCUAGACAUUAGAGGAAUAGUGUGGUACCAGAUGGUGUUUCUGAAGAAGGUUGUCCUAUUUUUGCAGUUUAAGGAUUUGAUAAUAAAUCUGCCUGGCAGCCCUCAGAUGUGAUUUGGCCUUGAAAUCGUCUCUGUUAAUCCUUGAUGCUGUGUGUAUCUGUCAAGGUCCAACCAGAAAAAACAGAACCUGCUCUAAGUAUCUGAACAAAGGGAAAUUUAAUGUAAGGAGCUGAUUGCACAGAUGAAGGAAGGGGCUGGGAGGCAAACAAGAGGGAACUGUGAGGUAACCCAGGGAUUUGCCACAGUAGGAAGACAUGACCACUACUAGGAUAGAGAGGUAAAAAA
rnacentral:lncRNA from 1 species